rnacentral:lncRNA from 1 species
AAACUAGAGGCUCUAAAGAGCCUGUGUCGCUCACCUUGGUCUAUGUGAAUAUUAAACAAAGGAAGCAGAUGGAUUCAUGACAAAAUUGUGUUUUGGUGAUGGUAAUGUGUUUGUAAAUCUUAUCUUACUAAAUAGUCUUGCUGCUUAAAUUUAUCUCUAUCUAUAAUGAACUUGGCCCAGUAGUUUCAGUGGAAAAUGUUAAUAAAAAUUUACAAAUUUUAUGAAAAUUGUUAAAAAUUGACUAUAAAGGACAAUAACUCUUUAGAGGGGUCAAUUGACCGUUUCGGUCAUGUUGGCUUAUUUGUAAAUCUUACUUUGCUGAACAUAAUUGCUGAAUACAGUUUAUCUCUAUCUAUAAUAAUAUUCAAGAUAAUAACCAAAAACAGCAAAAUUUCCUUAAAAUUACCAAUUUAGGGGCAGCAACCCAACAAUGGGUUGUCAGAUUCAUCUGAAAAUUAGAGGGCAGAUAGAUCUUGAUCUGAUAAACAAUUUUAUCCCAUGUCAGAUUUGCUCUAAAUGUUUUGGUUUUUGAAUUAUAAGCCAAAAACUGCAUUUUACCCCUAUGUUCUAUUUUUAGCUGUGGCGGCCAUCUUGAUUUGAUGGCCGGGUCUCCGGACACAUUUUUAAAACUAGAUACCCCAAAGAUGAUUGUUGCUAAGUUUGGAUUAAUUUGGCCCAGUAGUUUCAGAGGAGAAGAUUUUUGUAAAAGAUAACUAAGAUUUACGAAAAUGGUUAAAAAUUGACUAUAAAGGGCAAUAACUCCUAAAGGGGUCAACUGACCAUUCCAGUAAUGUUGAAUUAUUUGUUAAUCUUACUUUGCUGAACAUAAUUUCUGUUUACAGUUUAUCUCUAUCUAUAAUAAUAUUCAAGAUAAUAACAAAAAACAGCAAAAUCUCCUUAAAAUUACCAAUUCAGGGGCAGCAACCCAACAAAGGGUUGUCCGAUUCGUCUGAAAAUUUCAGGGCCGAUAGAUCUUGACCUGAUCAACAAUUAUACAACAUGUCAGAUUUGCUCUAAAUGCUUUGGUUUAUGAGUUAUAAGCCACAACUGCAUUUUACCCCUAUGUUCUAUUUUAAGCCAUGGCGGCCAUCUUGGUUGGUUGACCGGGUCAUGCCACACAUUUUUUAAACUAGAUACCCUAAUUAUGAUUGUGGCCAAGUUUCGUUAAAUUUGGCCCAGUAGUUUCAGAGGAGAAGAUUUUUGUAAAAGAUAACUAAGAUUUACGAAAAAUGGUUAAAAAUUGACUAUAAAGGGCAAUAACUCCUAAAGGGGUCAACUGACCAUUCCGGUCAUGUUGACUUAUUUGUUAAUCUUACUUUGCUGAACAUAAUUGCUGUUUACAGUUUAUCUCUAUCUAUAAUUAUAUUC